ACUACCGAUUGAAUGGUUUAGUGAGGACUCCUGAUUGGCGCCGCCGCCCCGGCAACGGAGCAGUGGACUGCCGAAAAGUUGUUCAAACUUGAUCAUUUAGAGGAAGUAAAGGUCGUAACAAGGUUUCCGUAGGUGAACCUGCGGAAGGAUCAUUACCGAUCGAGUUCUUCUUGGAACACCGCGAACCGUAUGGACAGUUGGGGGUCGCCCCGUCGAGGGCGUCAAACGUCGGGAGCGCCUUGGCCGAUCGGCCGGGGUUGAUUCUCGCGGCCCCCACGUUUAAUUUUUUUCACAAACACCCCUUUUACAGUCAAAGGACCGAGAACGGUCGACCAAUCAAAAAAGUUCAUAACUUUUAACGGUGGAUCUCUUGGCUCGUGCAUCGAUGAAGAACGCAGCCAGGUGCGAUAAGUAGUGUGAAUUGCAGAAUUCAGUGAAUCAUCGAAUCUUUGAACGCAAAUGGCGCUCUUGGGUUUUCCCAGGAGCACGUCUGUCUGAGUGUCGGUUUCCAAACCAAUGCGCACGCCCGCGUGCGGUGUUGAGGCGUCGCGGCACCCCUUCUUCGGAAGGCGGGCCUCGUCCCUUGAAAUGCAGCACGACCGAGGGGGUCGGCCGCUGCCGACGCCACUUUCGGGAAGGCCAAAAGCUCCUUUGCCCUUUCCCGAGGCGCCGGCCGGUCGACGGCCCCGUGCGGUCCUCGGCCCUUCUUAACUCUUGACCUCAGAUCAGGCGAGACUACCCGCUGAAUUUAAGCAUAUUAAUAAGCGGAGGAAAAGAAACUAACAAGGAUUCCCCUAGUAAUGGCGAAUGAAGCGGGAACAGCUCAAAUUUGAAAUCUCCGUCGCUUGCGACGGCGAAUUGUAGUUUCGAGAAGCACUUUCUAGGCGGGUCCGGGGCCGUCCAAGUUGCUUGGAACAGCACGUCAUAGAGGGUGACAACCCCGUCUGUGGCGGAACCGGGGCCGCUGACGAUGCGCUUUCGAC
rnacentral:rRNA from 1 species